rnacentral:tRNA from 1 species
CGGCCGGCUGGGCAAUAGUCCUGGUGGUCUCCGGGCUCUACCUCUGGUGGCCGCGCGGGCAGUCCAUGCGCGGUGUGUUCUGGCCGCGCCUGGCCAA